rnacentral:rRNA from 1 species
CAGUCGCCGCGGGAAUACGAAGGGUGCAAGCGUUACUCGGAAUUACUGGGCGUAAAGCGUGCGUAGGUGGUGGUUUAAGUCCGUUGUGAAAGCCCUGGGCUCAACCUGGGAAUUGCAGUGGAUACUGGGUCACUAGAGUGUGGUAGAGGAUAGUGGAAUUUCCGGUGUAGCAGUGAAAUGCGUAGAGAUCGGAAGGAACAUCUGUGGUGAAGGCGACUAUCUGGGCCAACACUGACACUGAGGCACGGAAGCGUGGGGAGCAAACAGGAUUAGAUACCCCGGUAGUCCCUGUCUCUUAUAA